rfam:Candidatus Saccharibacteria bacterium RAAC3_TM7_1, complete genome.
GCCUACCAGAAUUGUCGCUACGGACACACGCGUAAAAAGUACAGCUUCAACAGCUAUGAAAUAGUAACUAAUGAAACGGUCGACACGUGUCCUGUUCUACUGCGAGAAGUAAGACAUAGUAUGGUAGUCGCCCCCAUGGAGUAAUCCGGGUGGCAGGAG